UGGCCAUCUGAGGUGCUAAAAUCUCAACACCAAUGAAGCAAGUGUGCAUAAAAACAAACGAUAAAACACAACCAAAUAGAAGAAAACAGGCUGGAACAGAGUUGGUUUUGUACAGGAGUUUCCUUCCAGGAGUUGGUGUUCCCCUCCCUCCCCCGAAGGGGGCUGAAGUGCUUGCCCCAUCCUCAGUGUGCCCAUUGGAACACUGUGCCCUCUCUUCCCACCUGCUGCCAGGAUGAAGCGGCCAGCCCCGGGUCGGGACCAUGUCACCUGGGCACAGCCAGCCACCUCUGCGUGCCCACGUCUCAGGGGGAGCUGGGGGUCCCUUGGCUCUCCUCACACGGCAAAGGGACACACGUCAUUGAAUGCACACGGCUGAGUCACUGCUGCUGCGUCGGGCAGCGCCAAGAGCUAGAGCAUCCUGCUCGAAUUCGGAUACAAAUAAGGAAUCUUGUGCUCACAAGAGCCUUCUUCAGCUUUAAAAGUACAAAAUUUGAAUUAAAAAUAUUCAGAGUAAAAAAACCCACUAUCUGAUAUGCAAGUCAUAUUCUUAAAGUGCAACUGAACAGCAAAUAACAAGUUGUGCCUUUUACAACCAUUUUGAUAUAAAAAGGCCUUUCAACAUUCCCUUUUGUGUAUUUUUAAUCAAUUUGUGAGGCGAUGUUAGCUCUUCGUUUUCAUUCUCGCUGCUGGAGGCCUUCAGCACAACCCAAAGUGUUUAGGAUUAGGAUAUGUGGGUUUUCUGUGCAAUAAGGUAUUACAUCCUCAAGUGAUCUCACUCCUUCAGCAUUGCAAAGAUCUGGCAAUGUCCCCCAGCAUGAAAGGGAAAUGAAACCAUCUGAUGUUUCUUCUUCAGGACUUUUUUCUGUUCUACAGCUCACAUUCAAUGACCUUUAGUUACAAGUUAGAUGUGGUCCAUAUACCCAGAGCACUGUAAAAUAAACUGAGGUCAAUUCUCUGCACAAGUCAAUUUACAGUAAACUUUCUUUCUUCCCUCUUCCUGCACUCCAGUUUCCACUGGCCCCCUCAAAUGCAGACUGUGUAAGCUACCAUUGCCAGUUUGACUCGGGCAGCAGGCCCUGCACCAGCAAACAGGAGGGAAUUCUGUUUGUUGGACAUCCUGCUGGUAAAACCAAGGCUCCGGGAUGCUGGUAUGGCAGGUACCACUUGCUAAACACGCAUAGUUAUGAAGUAGCACUGCAGCUGCCUGUCUGUCUGCUUGGUUUCACGAGUAUCUGGAUUUAAUUUGCAAUGCCUUAGCAUAAAACACUAGGUGGAAUGAAGGGAGAAGACUUUGGGUGGAAAACACAUUU